UCCAGGAUUGAUAGAAAUUGUCCUGUAUCCUGAUGAUCUGAAACUGCAGACAAAAAUGGAUGCCUGGCCUCCCAGAACAGGAGGGUCUCCUAGAGCUGUGAGCAGAAGCGGAGAGGACGCCAUGCCCCAAACGCUUGUGGGAUUAGGCUUGUUCCAGAGUGGUCAGGCCACGAUCUGGUGACCAGGUGGUGGAGGGCAGCCCUGUCGGCUCUCGGAGCCUGGCUCGGGCUAGCCCCCAGAUGAAGACUUGAAGGAUGAUUGGAAUUCUCCAGGAAGAGAUGACAGCACCAGUGAUGACUAAUGUUAUGAGUACAAACUGUUUUCACCACCACCAUCACCCCCAUUUUGUGUCUACUGUGUGUGAGCUGC